rnacentral:rRNA from 1 species
UACGGGGGGGGCAAGCGUUGUUCGGAAUUACUGGGCGUAAAGGGCUCGUAGGUGGCCAACUAAGUCAGACGUGAAAUCCCUCGGCUUAACCGGGGAACUGCGUCUGAUACUGGAUGGCUUGAGUUUGGGAGAGGGACGCGGAAUUCCAGGUGUAGCGGUGAAAUGCGUAGAUAUCUGGAGGAACACCGGUGGCGAAGGCGGCGACCUGGGUAGAUACUGACGCUGAGGCGCGAAAGCGUGGGGAGCAAACAGG